rnacentral:tRNA from 1 species
UCCUUGAUAGCUCAGAUGGUAAAGAAUCUGCCUGCAAUGCAGGAGACCCUGGUUUGAUUCCUGGGUGGGGAA